rnacentral:rRNA from 1 species
AUUGAACGCUGGCGGCAGGCCUAACACAUGCAAGUCGGACGGUAGCACAGGGGAGCUUGCUCCUCGGGUGACGAGUGGCGGACGGGUGAGUAAUGUCUGGGGAUCUGCCCGAUAGAGGGGGAUUACCACUGGAAACGGUGGCUAAUACCGCAUAAUGUCGCAAGACCAAAGAGGGGGACCUUCGGGCCUCUCACUAUCGGAUGAACCCAGAUGGGAUUAGCUAGUAGGCGGGGUAACGGCCCACCUAGGCGACGGUCCCUAGCUGGUCUGAGAGGAUGACCAGCCACACUGGAACUGAGACACGGUCCAGACUCCUACGGGAGGCAGCAGUGGGGAAUAUUGCACAAUGGGCGCAAGCCUGAUGCAGCCAUGCCGCGUGUAUGAAGAAGGCCUUCGGGUUGUAAAGUACUUUCAGCGGGGAGGAAGGCGAUGUGGUUAAUAACCGCGUCGAUUGACGUUACCCGCAGAAGAAGCACCGGCUAACUCCGUGCCAGCAGCCGCCGUAA